UGCCAGCAGCCGCGGUAAUACGGAGGGUGCAAGCAUUAAUCGGAUUUAUUGGGCGUAAAGAGCGCGUAGGCGGGAAAGAAAGUCAGAUGUGAAAUACCGGAGCUCAACUCCGGAACGGCAUUUGAAACUUCUUUUCUAGAGGAUAGGCGGAGAAAGUGGAAUUCCACGUGUAGCGGUGAAAUGCGUAGAUAUGUGGAAGAACACCAGUGGCGAAGGCGACUUUCUAGCUUAUUCCUGACGCUGAGGCGCGAAAGCAAGGGGAGCGAACAGGAUUAGAUA
rnacentral:rRNA from 1 species